UACGUAGGGGGCAAGCGUUGUCCGGAAUCAUUGGGCGUAAAGCGCGUGUAGGCGGCUGAGUAAGUCUGCUCUGAAAGCCCGGGGCUCAACCCCGGGAGGCGGGUGGAUACUGCUCAGCUCGAGUCCGGAAGAGGAGUGUGGAAUUCCUGGUGUAGCGGUGAAAUGCGCAGAUAUCAGGAGGAACACCGGUGGUGUAAACGGCUUUCUGGACCAUAACUGACGCUGAGGCACGAAAGCGUGGGUAGCAAACAGG
rnacentral:rRNA from 1 species